rnacentral:sRNA from 1 species
GCCAGGUGCAGUGGUGCACAACUGUAAUCCCAGCAGCUCGGAGGCUGAGGCAGGAGGAUCGUGAGUCCAAGGCCAGCCUCAGCAAAAGCGAGGCUCUAAGCAACUCAGUGAGAUCCUGUUUUUA